AGUCGAGCGAAUGGAUUGAGAGCUUGCUCUCAAGAAGUUAGCGGCGGACGGGUGAGUAACACGUGGGUAACCUGCCCAUAAGACUGGGAUAACUCCGGGAAACCGGGGCUAAUACCGGAUAACAUUUUGAACUGCAUGGUUCGAAAUUGAAAGGCGGCUUCCGUCUGUCACUUAUGGAUGGACCCGCGUCGCAUUAGCUAGUUGGUGAGGAAACGGCUCACCAAGGCAACGAUGCGUAGCCGACCUGAGAGGGUGAUCCGCCACACUGGGGACUGAGACACGGCCCAGACUCCUACGGUGAGGCAGAAGUACGGAAUACUUCCGCAAUGGACGAAAGUCUGACGGAGCAACGCCGCGUGAGUGAUGAAGGCUUUCGGGUCGUAAAACUCUGUUGUUAGGGAAGAACAAGUGCUAGUUGAAUAAGCUGGCACCUUGACGGUACCUAACCAGAAAGCCACGGCUAACUACGUGCCAGCAGCCGCGGUAAUACGUAGGUGGCAAGCGUUAUCCGGAAUUAUUGGGCGUAAAGCGCGCGCAGGUGGUUUCUUAAGUCUGAUGUGAAAGCCCACGGCUCAACCGUGGAUGGCCAUUGGAAACUGGGAAACUUGAGUGCAGAAGAGGAAAGUGGAAUUCCAAGUGUAGCGGUGAAAUGCGUAGAGAUUUGGAGGAACACCAGUGGCGAAGGCGACUUUCUGGUCUGUAACUGACACUGAGGCGCGAAAGCGUGGGGAGCAAACAGGAUUAGAUACCCUGGUAGUCCACGCCGUAAACGAUGAGUGCUAAGUGUUAGGGGGUUUCCGCCCCUUAGUGCUGCAGCUAACGCAUUAAGCACUCCGCCUGGGGA
rnacentral:rRNA from 1 species